rnacentral:rRNA from 1 species
GAUGAACGCUAGCGACAGGCCUAACACAUGCAAGUCGAGGGGCAGCACGAGGUAGCAAUACUAGGGUGGCGACCGGCGGACGGGUGAGUAACACGUAUGCAACCUGCCCGUAAUCGGGGGAUAACCCGGAGAAAUUCGGACUAACACUCCAUGUAUCUGUAUUAUUGCAUGAUAAAACAGAAAAAACGCAAGGAUUACGGAUGGGCAUGCGGAUGAUUAGCUGGUUGGCGGGGUAACGGCCCACCAAGGCGACGAUCAUUAGGGGUUCUGAGAGGAAGGUCCCCCACAUUGGAACUGAGAAACGGUCCAAACUCUUACGGGAGGCAGCAGUGAGGAAUAUUGGUCAAUGGGCGAGAGCCUGAACCAGCCAAGUCGCGUGAAGGAAGAAGGUCUUAUGGAUUGUAAAACUUCUUUAGCAGGGGAAUAAAAGGUUAUUAACGAGCUAAAUAAUUUAGCAGGUACUCUGCGAAAAAGGAUACGGCUAACUCCGUCGCCGAGCACGCCGCGUAAACCGUAGUCCGUAACGU